UUAUUGCCCAGCAUUAGGAGCACUAAUCUGUUGCAGGUGCUCCUGGUGUUCUCCUAGACCGUGCCUGCCCUCCUUCCCAGGAGGCCCCAUUAUGUGUGUGUGGGUGUGACAGAGACAGAAGGAGUCAGAGGGAAGGAGACAGUUAUGUUUUACUUCUUGGCAUCUGCAGGUAGAUUAUACCAUCUCUACAAUCCUCUCAAAUCACCAGGAGGCUCAGGAUGUGGACACGGAGAACAUGAAGUCCAAUGGCUUCUCCUCAUCAGUCACAUCGCCUGCACAGCUGCUGCAGGACAGAUGUGUGGUCCCCAUAAAACGCCGGGAUGAAAUAUUCAAGGACACUUUUUUGGCUUGUUCGUUUAUACGGAUAUCUGAGAAAUGACUCAGAUUUCUCAGUCUUUCAAACAACACAUAGUUUUAGUGAAACUUCCUCUCCUUUCUUGGCACUAAUAACUCAUGGUGGGUAUACAGUAGGAAACCUCUCUAUCAGCAGGAAGGAUGCAACCUAUGGGGCGUAUUACAAUAAAGAAAAGAUCCGCCAGUAUGGAUUGAGCCAACGGCUUCACAGGAAGCCUGCGGUGCUUUUGGUGACGAUGAACAAAGACACACAAAGAGACCCGCUGAGAAAGUCCUGCUCUGUAGGAAGCCUGCAACGCCUGCUAUGGCCAGCUUUGCAAAGACAAAAGUAAAUGAAAUAGAGACGAAUAGAGAUGGGGAGGAAUCCAGGGGCGGAGGACGGCAACGAUACUGCAGGGAAGAGAAACACGGAGAGCGACAGAAGUUUGAAAACAUCACGUGGUUUGAUCAUGUGAACCCAGUGGUUUUAUUUUACCAAGCAAACACUUGAUUGUGUUACAGAGCAUAUUCCAGGAUUUGGCUCCGUGGAGUUCACAGGCUUCAACAUAUGGACUAGAGGAGCUGGGGAUCUGACCACUAGGCCUGCACUGACUCAGUGUCAAUGAGGCCCAGCGUACAUAUAGAGAUGGACACAUUGCUCUUCUUCAUGGACAGCUCAUGGUGAAGGACCCCAAAGAAACCGUCUAGGGCAAACUUAGAUGUGGUGUACGGAGCCAUGAAGGGAGUCGGAAUUCUACCUGUGAGCGUCAACAGCUGUUAUAGUCAUGGCAGAGGGGAAAUAUACAAAGGCUUCAUUUGUUCUUUAACUCUACCAGGGCACUCAACGCUCUCCAAGCCAUCUGAACGUAGCUGAAGAAGUUGGCCUUGAUGAAGCACACAGACAAACAGAGGUGGUCGAGCCAAUGUGGUUGAGGACCAGGUAAUCCAGACCUCCAAGCUUCUCCAGAGCAAAGUCCACCACUUUCUCAGGCUGCGCCUCAUCGGCCAUGUCUGCUGCUACGUACACAGCUUUCUGGGCUCCCAGACUC